AUGGAGGCGACGGCCAUCAGCGUUGGCAAGUCCGUGUUGAGCGGGGCGCUCAACUACACCCAGUCAGCUGUCGCCGAGGAAGUUGCUUUGCAGCUUGGUGUCCAGCGUGACCACUCCUUCAUCUCGGACGAGCUCGAGAUGAUGCAGUCAUUCCUGAUGGCUGCUCACGAUGAGAGAGACGACAAUUGGGUGGUCAGGACUUGGGUGAAACAAGUCCGUGACGUCUCCUACUCUGUCGAGGACUGCCUCCUGGAUUUUGCUGUCCGUCUCGAGAAGCAAUCCUGGUGGUGUCUCUCUCGCAAGGUGCUGGCCCGCCGUUAUGUGGCGAUGCAGAUGAAGGAGCUCAGAGACAAGGUUGAGGAGGUCAGCCAGAGGAGCCAACGGUACCACCUCAUCAAGGGCUCUAGCUCCAAGCCUACCUCCGCUGUUGGGCAGCAUAUCAUGUCCAGCACGACGAUGUCUGCCGCCGAUGAUGCAAGGCUGCAGCAGCAUAAAGCAAAAACGGAUCUCGUCGAGCUGAUCAAUUGCAAGGAUGAUGCACUUCGAAGUGAUGGUGUUGUGGGGCACAAGUAG
rnacentral:rRNA from 1 species